GCGAGAGUGGCGGAAUUGGCAGACGCGCUGGACUUAGAAUCCAGUGGGAAGAAACUCCUUUAUGGGUUCAAGUCCCAUCUCUCGCACCA
rnacentral:tRNA from 3 species